AUAAUUAACAAUAUGUUCUGCCCUAUUCUUCUCCUCAUUUUUAGCGGACAAAGAUUCCUUUGUUCCUGAGCUUGAAACUUCAUGACAUGCACAACUGCAUUUACCUUUGGAGAUAUCUGCAUCAUCUACAACCUCCACUGCUUUUUUGACAUCCAGUGUGCCAUCUAAAAGCCUUUGCAUUCUUCUAAGGACUCGAAGUUGCUCUUUUG
rnacentral:misc_RNA from 1 species